UAACACUAUAUAUAACUGGCCACUAUGGCACCAUAUUUUUGAAGCUCCUCGUCAGUCUUCCUAGUACCAUGAAUAAACCCCCUUCAGUAUUGUCUGUGGUUGCCUGAUUCUUGGGGAAAAUAAUCUUUUUGCCUAACAGUUUUGGCACAGCGAGCAGGAUGUGAUCGGGAAUCCUCGGAGAGUUUCUCACAACCAGGGAUAGAGGUAACAAACAACUCCCCACGUUAAUCCUCCUGGCAAACGUACCUGAUGCAGCCUCCUGGGACCUGCCCUUAACGCAUGUUACACAAGAUGCCUGUUUCAAAGCUGGCCAGUAUGUGCAACUCCCUACAGGAGACAGCAGUGAAUAGGUAAAAAAACAAAACAAAAAACGGACCCUUGGCUUGCCCCCAGAACGACCACCUGGGACCUAUCAUGGUUACAGCUCGCCUCCAAAAACAUCCAGGUUCCAAGAUCUCAAUCUAUCACAGCCUAGGAGCAGUCUUCGGCUCCCUCCCUGCAUUUCACCGGAUCUGGACUGUAACUGAGUAUUUAGCUCCAUGGGAUGUGGGCACACACAUAUAGGACCCCCAUUUGGGGAUGCAAGGUCAUACAAUUCUUGGGUCAAAGGCCAAACCACCCAAGCCCUUAAGCAUACUAACACCAGGUUAUCUUAUGCUCCAACUGCAACUGCUGUAGGCAUAGAGGAUUUUUACAAAAUCCUUGAGAAAACCUCAGAUGCUAUAGUCAACCUGGCCAAGUCACAAGCUAAAGGUUGUGCUUGUGAUAUGCUUGUGAUAUGUUUAACAUUGCAAAAGAAAACAUGUUAGAUGUAUGCCAGGGUUUUCCUCCAUCCCAUACCCUUUCCUCCCCCACCCUUGCCCACAUGCAGGCAUUUCUACUCAACUGAUAGUAGCCUCUUUACUUCCUCCAGACUCAUCCUUCUCCUUUAAUUUCCUUCUUGUGUAUGCUUCUGUUAUCCCUACCCAUGUGUUUCCUCCUCCUUUCUGUUUUAAGUCUAUUGGAUAUGUAACUAACGAUAUGGUGUACAAAGUAGGGCUGUCCAGAUACCUGGCACCAUCUCCUGCUAAUGCUACACUGAUGACAACCUCAGACUGUUGUACAGAAACAAAACAGUUACAUUGUGGUGUUACUGUUCCACCCUUCGUCCUUUAAUCUUGUCCUCUUCUGUUGUUGUGGAUGUCCUUCCUCUUGCAGAUGGUGAAGUUGCUGUAUAAGUAUCCGCUACACAAUGGUGUUUCAUCAUCACUGCAUCUUAUUACAUACGGAUGAUUACAGUGCCAGGCAAACGCUUCCAUGUGCCUGCAGAUUACUGACUCAUUUACCCCAGGUGAUGUGCACCUCCCCGGCCGUGUGUUCACUAAAAUGACAGCGGGUCCUCCAUGGCAUAACAACCUAUACCUGGACAAUACACUGGUUCAACUAGCCAAGGAGGUACUACUCAAAGUCGUCCUGGCUGCUGCAUCUGUGUUUACCACUGUUCAUAACCACAUCACCAAACCAUCCAAUCAAACCAUCACCCAACUGGAAGAUCCUCUUCAUAAUGCAUCCUACAGCCCCAUCUCCUGAUGCUGCUGUUGCUUCUAUAUUUGUGUUGCUAACCUCUCUGGUCAUGUGUGGGUACUUUAGACACAUGCUUAAAAAUCUUACUAUGGUUCCUACCUUUACCCUCUUUCCCCAUUUCCCUCUCUCCCCUCCCCCUCCCUUGGGCAACCCUAAAACAGAUCAUGUAUAUCAAAGCAUUUGAAGUAUUGACAUUAUCUCAUCUAAAAGUUCUAUAUGUCAACAGGAGGGCACUGUCAGGCAAGAGUUAAAAUUUAGCUAACAGCUAAGACAAAAACCACAGAACAAGCAGGAAUGCUUCAGCAGCAAGGACACUGACAACUGUAAACAACUGAUAAGCUUAUAUGGGCAAUGCCCGCCAGUAACUCAGCUCUUACAACAGAACAAAUCCUCCCUUCACAGCCCACCGGAUAUCUGUAAACACUCCUCCCUACCCCCCACCCACCUCCUUCCCCCAUAAGGUAGUCAUAGACAUUUGAUGCAAUUAGGAUGACCUCUAUAUGUACGUACUGUUCUUAGUUUAAUCUUUGCUCAGGGUUCUCUCUUGACUUGUAAGAAUGUCUGUUUCUGUAUGUACAGAUAAAUGCAAAUGAAUUGAUAAGACAAUGUAUAUAACUGGCCACUAGGGCACCAUAUUUUUGAAGCUGCUUGUCAGUCUUCCCAGUACAGUGAGUAAACCCCCUACAGUAUUGUCUGUGCUUGCCUGAUUCUUGGGGAAAAGAAUCUUUUUGCCUAACACUACCCAAUUCUUCAGUUAUGGACAGGCAUCUACAGAUACCUCUUCAGUAUCAUUUGGCUGAGUUAUACAUAAACAUUUUUUCAAUUUC